GAGACCGGCAGUGACGUCACCGCGUCGCCGCGGGGGAAGUCGGGAAGGACGUUCCCCUCGCAGAGGAAGCUGUGGCGCUGGGCUGCUGCGCAAUACCAAAACUAUGAGAAGGAGGAUUCUUAAGGAGAGGCGGGAAAGAGGAGGUCCAUUUUCUCAAUCCUGAAAGUCUCUGGCCUGAAUCCCCUCUUGGCUUGUCAAAUCACACUCAAUCCUAAAGGCUCAUCUCAAGAGGCCUCAAUGAAAGUAUUUCUCCCUGCUACCCAGCAGACACUUGCCCCCUCCUCUGUGGUUUGAUGGCACUUAGUUUAAACUGUUAGUAUAAAACUCAGAGAAGUGGUUAUUCCA